rnacentral:rRNA from 1 species
UACGUAGGUGGCAAGCGUUGUCCGGAUUUAUUGGGUUUAAAGGGUGCGUAGGCGGUCCAUUAAGUCAGUUGUGAAAUACAGCAGCUUAACUGUCGAGGUGCAAUUGAUACUGGUGGACUUGAGUACUGAUGAGGUAGGCGGAAUGGACGGUGUAGCGGUGAAAUGCGCAGAUAUCAGGGGGAACACCGAUGGCGAAGGCAGGUCUCUGGGCAUUAACUGACGCUGAGGAGCGAAAGCAUGGGGAGCGAACAGG